GAGAAUCACAAUAAGUCUUUGAAGAAAAAGAAGGCCAGGGCAUUGGAAGCGAAGCAGAACCAAGAGGCGGAGAAGAUGAGGCAGCUGGAGAGUUCACUGUUUGGGUCGAUCUAUGAGCCACUGAAGUUUGGCACUGAGUUUGGGGCUGCGGUGUCGGAUCAUGACAGGGAUGGUCCUUUGUUCUUCAUAGAUCGGUCUGCUGGUAACAGUGAGGAUGACUUGCCUGUUUAUGAGGAGGACUUCGGCAGUGAAAUUGAUGAAGAUGAGAUGGUCAGUAAGGGGAGGAAGCCUGCGUGGGUAGAUGACGAGGAGGAGAGGACUUAGGUGGACAUCUUAAAGGUUGCAAGAUUGAGGAAGUUGAGAAAGGAGGCUGAUGAGUGUGUGAUCUCGGGCAGAGAGUAUGAAGCUAGGUUGCAUGGUCACCAUGCCAAGUUGAACCCCUUCACUGGCUGGGCAGAUAUGGGCCCUAAGGCUCCUCUCCCUGGGGUUUAUGAUGAUGAAUCCGAUGAGGAUGGCGGAGUCGACAAUAUUCUUCGGAACAACGAUGAGCUUGUUGUCAAGGGUACUGCUAAGCUUUUACCUGGCAUGUUGGACUUCUCAAGGCUUGUUGAUGCUAAUGCGCAGGAGCCAUCUACUGGUCCUAUCAAUUCCGUGCAGUUUCAUAGGAAUGGACAACUGAUGCUUGCUGCUGGCCUGGAUAAACAUCUGAGAUUUUUCCAGAUUGACGGGAAAAGAAAACCCAAGAUCCAGAGCAUAUUUAUCGAGGAUUGUCCGGUUCACAAGGCAUCCUUUCUACCUGAUGGCUCUGAGGUGAUCCUUUUCAGGCAGGAGCAAUUCUUCUACUCAUUUGAUUUGGUGAAAGCUGCUGUUAGUAAGAUUGGACCCUUGACCGGACGUGAGGAGAAAAGCCUGGAAAACUUUGAGAUAUCACCUGACUCAAAAACCAUUGUGUUUGUUGGAAAUGAGGGGUACAUUCUUUUGAUAUCUUCCAAAACAAAGCAGCUCACUGGAACCCUCAAGAUGAACGGAAAUGUGCGUUCAUUGGCUUUUGCGGACGGUGGGAAUCAGCUACUAAGCAGUGGCGGGGAUGGCCAUGUUUACCACUGGGAUCUUAGAACGAGGAAGUGUAUGCACAAGGCUACCGACGAGGGCUCCCUGACAGGCCUUUCUCUCUGCACCUCUCAGGACAGCUCCUAUUUCGCCACAGGCUCCAGCAGCGGCAUCGUGAACGUGUACGGCAGGGACGAAUUCCUCGCCGGGAAGAGGAAGCCGCUGAAGACGAUCGAGAACCUCAUGACCGAGAUCAGUCAGAUGAAGUUCAACCACGACGCCCCGGUUCUGGCGAUAAGCUCGGGGAAGGAGCGGAACGGGAUGAGGCUCGUGCACGUCCCGUCUUUCGCCGUGUUCCAGAACUGGCCAGGGCCUCGGUUCAGCCUCCAGUACCCCCGGUGCCUGGACUUCAGCCCGGGCAGCGGGUUCCUCUCUGUCGGACAUGCUGGCGGAAGAGUUUUGCUGUACAAGCUGCACCACUAUCAGAACGCCUAG
rnacentral:rRNA from 1 species